GUCAGCAUGGUAUAGUGGUUUGACUGCUGGAUUAUUACUCUGGAGACCUGAGUUUGAAUCUCAGCUUGGUGAUG